GAGACCGUCAUAACUACAAGUUCACCGACAUCCCAUUGAAACGUGUGUUAAACUUAAUACACACAUUUCAAUGGGAUGUCGUUGGACUUGUACUUAUGACGGUUUCAUGAAACGCUGCCCAGAUCCCCGACACCGAACACCUGGGGAGGUUUCACGAAACCGUCAUUAAGUCUAACUUUUUAGACAUCGUAUUGAAACGUGUGAUAGAGAUCUAACACGUGUUUCUACCAAAUCUCCACGAGCUUAGACUUAUGGCAGUUUCGAGAAACUAGCACUCGCUCUGAAUCUGGCGCAUCCACGGCCACGCUGGAAGCUCGGAUCUGACCGCCUGCGAUGCAUGCCCCGGACGCGACGGCAGCCCGCUCUCGAGCUAACUCUCCAUCGCAUCGUGCAGCUGUCUUUCUUCUCUUUCACGAACACGGUUGCCCGACUGAAACAACUAGACCACAUUAGUAGCCUGACAUCAAGAUAGGUCUCUAUUAUGUGCCCAUCCGUCUGAUUAAGGCUGGAAGUAACACACAUGUGCAGUGUUUCAGUCGAAAACGAAUACCACCCAUUCAAAAUCGGUUAUAGGAUCUUGUCCAUAUGUCCAUAUUUUUGUAUGCAUGUGAAACAUGGACCAUGACAGCAGACAUUAAAAGAAGGAUACAGGCACUGGAGAUGAAAUGUUUCCGCAAACUCCUCAGUAUCUGGUAUAGAGAUCACAUAACCAACGAGGUAGUGAAAAUCAGAAUUGGAAACACCAUAGGGCCGUAUGAAGACCUCCUGACUUCAGUGAAAAGAUGCAAAGUAAAGUGGUAUGGGUAUGUCACAUGAUCAUUUGGACUGGCCAAGACUAUUCUACAUGGAACAGUACAAGGAGGGAGACCAAAAGGCAGGCAGAGGAAACGAUGGGAAGACAACAUUAACGAGUGACCUUGACUGAAACAUCAUACUUCGUAAAGCCAAGAACCACGAGGAGUGGAGGAAGCUGGUAGUAUAAAUCUUCAGUGGUGCCCCAAGGGUCAGCCAGACUGUGGGAUAGGUGAAGGUGAAGGUGAAGGAAGCUAAGAAUCAGAUAGUUAGACAUUAUAUUGGAUCAUUUAUCCUUUCCUUCAAAAGGAAUGUUGCUUUAUACUGUAGCACAUAAACAAUGCUUUUUAAUUGGCAAUAUUUCAGUUCAGUACGCUUGUUAUUAAUUUCAUCAAACAUUAAAAUGUAAAAGGGAGAAACACUGUCAUUUGAAAAUCAAAAUGUAAGUCAUAAAAAUUUCACUGUCUAACUAUCUGAAUCUUGUCAGGAUCCAUGUACGAGUUAGUGCAAUUCUUUUCUCUUCACUACAACCGCAUUGAUUUACUUUAAUAGCAUGUUACUAGGUACAUCAAUUGAUGAGAAAAAGCAGCAAAACGCUUUAAAUUUGUUGUAGUCUUAAAAUUAAAGUUGGAAGUUUCCUAAAAAGGGAAUUUUAGAACACUCCUUCAACUGACAUGCACGGAUGUUAUACUUCCAUAAUUUCCAUACAUUAAUGUCUUUGUAAUGCAUGUUACCAAACAAAAAAAAGUAUCAUCAACCAUUCUUGUCAUUUCCUGUGCAAUUAUUUUCACAUCCUGGCUUAACAGUACAUAAACAGUGCUCUUUUAUUUUCAAUAUUUCAGAAAAAUGCAUUUGCAUUAUGAUACAUGCAGGUAUAGUUGGUCAAGUAAGAAUAUAUUUACAGCAUGCUCACUAUGAAUUGAUUAAAUCGCCAUUGAAUCUAAAAGGUAUGUUAUACCUCAUUGUAUAUUCAGAAGGAAAAAGUGUGAGGAUAGCUUUAAAAAAAAAAAAAAUCAUGAGUAUACAUAAUGAUGUGAAUAUGUACAUGUUUGUUUGUUGCAUAUGAUUCUUCCUUGGUAUCAAAGCUGUAAUAAUUGCAUAUUUAUGAUUCAGCAUAAUACUUUGUUCAUUACAAAAAAAAAUAUGUCAUAAUUUUCCAAAACGGUAGUGUAAAGAAUAAUGUAAGAUUGAGGUAAGAUUGUUACAUAUAUUCUCUAUACGUAUCAACUAAAAUGUAAGUUUUCAAAUGAGAUACUAUUUUGUCCCCAGAUGAAAUAAGUAAUGGAUCUUUUUUGUUAAAUGUCAGCAAAUGAUCUAAAUGAACAUGUGUUCGGGUAUAUCAAAUCUUGUACAUGUAGUUUCUAUAGCUAAUAUAGUUUGGAGGACUUAAAGAUAGAAAAACUGCUGAUUGAUUAAUUACCAUUGUUUGUAUUGUUCACUAUAACCAGCAAGUAAAGGGACAUUUAGUAGAUGCCAAGAAAGUAUUUCCAAAGCAAUUACAUUUCUCUUAUCCCGUAAUGUAUUUUUUGCGUCAAUAAAAGCAAAUGUGAGGGUUGUCCACAUAACAUCACAACUACAGAACAGUUUAAUUGAAAUUAACAUACAUAUUACAUGUAUAUAUGUGUAUUAUGGAAUAACUUAGAAUAUUUCAUAAUUUGUUAUUAUUAUCCAGUUCAUUACAUUUUUACCAAUGUAUUUCUUCAAUAUUUCUACUUUUCCUCAGAGCAUAUGCUGUGAACUAAUGGAUAUUCCUUGUCAGUUCCAUCAUGUUAUGUCAAUGGGCUUACACUGUAUGCGUGUACAUGUCCUUUUUGCAAUGUACAUGUGCUACGAAAAUGUCAACAAUAUUGUUUGAGAUAUAAAAUAUAGAGUUAACAAGUGAAUUAUUCA
rnacentral:lncRNA from 1 species